rnacentral:rRNA from 1 species
GAUGAACGCUAGCUACAGGCUUAACACAUGCAAGUCGAGGGGCAGCAUGAACAUAGCUUGCUAUGUUUGAUGGCGACCGGCGCACGGGUGCGUAACACGUAUCCAAUCUGCCCGUCACUCGGGGAUAGCCUUCUGAAAGGAAGAUUAAUACCCGAUGGCAUGCAUUUCCGGCAUCGGAGAUGCAUUAAAGAUUUAUCGGUGACGGAUGAGGAUGCGUACGAUUAGCUUGUUGGCGGGGUAACGGCCCACCAAGGCGACGAUCGUUAGGGGUUCUGAGAGGAAGGUCCCCCACACUGGAACUGAGACACGGUCCAGACUCCUACGGGAGGCAGCAGUGAGGAAUAUUGGUCAAUGGGCGGGAGCCUGAACCAGCCAAGUAGCGUGAAGGAAGACUGCCCUACGGGUUGUAAACUUCUUUUGUUUGGGAAUAAAAGACGCUACGUGUAGCGUUGUGCAUGUACCUUACGAAUAAGCAUCGGCUAAUUCCGUG